rnacentral:rRNA from 1 species
UACGUAGGGCGCAAGCGUUGUCCGGAAUUAUUGGGCGUAAAGAGCUCGUAGGUGGCGUGUCGCGUCUGCCGUGAAAGCCCAUGGCUUAACUGUGGGUCUGCGGUGGAUACGGGCAGGCUGGAGGCUGGUAGGGGCAAGCGGAAUUCCUGGUGUAGCGGUGAAAUGCGUAGAUAUCAGGAGGAACACCGGCGGUGUAGACGGCUUGCUAGACCAUAACUGACGCUGAGGCACGAAAGCGUGGGUAGCAAACAGG